GCGACCUCAGAUUUACGGUUCCAUUAAAGAAGAAAGAAUUAAUUCCCUAAUAUAGACUAUUGUUGGAACUGUAGCACGUCGUGUUGCGCCGCGUGCCGUUAGAUAAAAUUUGGGUGCUCUCGAAGAACAAAACGGUUGUAUGGUUCUGGGGCUCUACAGGAAACAGAAACCUAGAAAGGGAUCAUCCAUUAAAACAGUUUUUGCUAUGGAUUUAGAUGCAGGAGAUGUCGAAUACUGAGAAGAGGACCUUUGAGAAGCUGGCUUCUACACCAUCUAAGUACGGGGCACUCCACACGGUUUUUUUCCACGAAUUUGCUUGAUUAGAAUGGGGAAUGUGUGAGGUUUAGCUGCAGUCGGCCAGCAACAUCAUUAGCCUAUUAUCCGAACAGGCUAACAUCCGCCUCCGCCACUCCGCCGCCGCGACCCGGUCACCAUCGCACUCUCGUCCCUGCCGCCAUCAUAGCCUAGCCACCGUCCCUUGGCUCAAUGAUGCCAGCUCCAAACGUCGCAAGGCAGAUCGGACUCGCAGCUCAGACACCCAGAGAGAGAGAGAGAAGGGGGAACAGCGGCUAGCAAGGCUCAAACGAGAGCUGUGUCGAUGACGGGACGGUGAAGACGCGAGGCGGUAGUGGUGCAUCAGUGAGGAGACGGAGGAGACGAGUGUUUUGCCGGAUUUUUGCUUUCUUGUUUUUCUUGGAGCGUUUAGGGGUCUUUUUGAAAGUUUAUUUUUAGGUUACAAAUUGGAAAUCAAGAAACUCGUGAAUGCUUGACGUGGGUCUUGAUGGCUGCUGCUCAGCUAUAGCUAAGCGUCACCCACAGGUUAAAGGAAUGGGACAACGAUAACAGGUGACGGACAAAACCAAUCAAAGGUCCAUGUCCUUCAUUCGUUAGAAUACACAUAUGGGUUGUGUUAGAUUAGUCUCACAUCAGAUAAUUAUAUGGUGUGGAGUAUAUCCUAACUGAGCCAUAAAUCAUGGGCUUAAGUUUUU